rnacentral:rRNA from 1 species
UACGAAGGGUGCAAGCGUUACUCGGAAUUACUGGGCGUAAAGCGUGCGUAGGUGGCCAACUAAGUCAGACGUGAAAUCCCUCGGCUUAACCGGGGAACUGCGUCUGAUACUGGAUGGCUGGAGUUUGGGAGAGGGAUGCGGAAUUCCAGGUGUAGCGGUGAAAUGCGUAGAUAUCUGGAGGAACACCGGUGGCGAAGGCGGCAUCCUGGACCAAUACUGACACUGAGGAGCGAAAGCCAGGGGAGCAAACGGG